AGCAGCCGCGGUAAUUCCAGCUCCAAUAGCGUAUAUUAAAGUUGUUGCAGUUAAAAAGCUCGUAGUUGAAUUUCGGAAUCUGUCCGUUGGUCGGGCUUCACUGUCCGUACUGAUGUGAUGGGUUCUUACCUUCUGAAUAACCAUCAUGUCAUUAAUUUGGUGUGUUGGGGAAGCAGGACUAUUACCUUGAAAAAAUUAGAGUGCUCAAAGCAGGCUAGUGCCUGAAUACAUUAGCAUGGAAUAAUAAAAUAGGACGGCAUGGUUCUAUUUUGUUGGUUUCUAGGAUCACCGUAAUGAUUAAUAGGGAUAGUUGGGGGCAUUAGUAUUCAAUUGUCAGAGGUGAAAUUCUUGGAUUUAUUGAAGACUAACUUCUGCGAAAGCAUUUGCCAAGGAUGUUUUCAUUAAUCAAGAACGAAAGUUAGGGGAUCGAAGACGAUCAGAUACCGUCGUAGUCUUAACCAUAAACUAUGCCGACUAGGGAUCGGACGAUGUUAAUUUUAUAAUGACUCGUUCGGCG
rnacentral:rRNA from 1 species